CACCGUAUCAAGACUGCCAGGAGUCAGGAUAGAGGGAAAUAGAACUGUGGGAGAGGGAGGGUGUGUGCAUCACAAAACCUAACAAAAUGCUCCAGUCUGGAAGAGACGUCCAUCAACUGCUCCUUGUUUGGAGGACCUCACCAACCAUACGGGAGAGCGCAUGUGUGAUCUUUCACUGUGCUCAGGAGUAGAGAAAGACAGUGAGUGUUACAGGAAGCACCUAAGGCAGCAGAGCGAGCAGUGGCAGCCUCCAGGGCCCAGGUAAAGCUUCUGUUUUUUAUGAUGGUACUUCUCAACCCUGCCCAGAUCACCUGCACUGCUCUGCAUGGACUCCUAAUAGUGACUCCCAGAACAAGGUAACUGCCACCCAAGGUCAGAGGAGGUCUAUAGGCUAAUGAUAUGGCGGGAGAUUCCUUUAUGUAAUAGACCAGAGGCACAAAAAGGAGCCAAUAGCUCUGUUUCUACCUGGGUCCCCUGCUACUCUGAAAUACAGAUUUAGGCAUUGUGAAAUCCUUCACUAAAUGCCCUUUAUAUUUAAAGAGAAAUAUCCAGUUCUCAAACCAGUUAACUAACCAAGCACUUGAGUGACUUUUACUCAUCUAAAACAUGGACUGACCUUUACGGUUAUAUUACUGCUCUUCCUACUCACAGGAGAACCAAUCACAUUCACUCUUCCCCCUCAACAAGAAGUGAUGACCAGAAAAAUCAAACAUCAAGCUGGGUCCCACAUCCUACUACCUGGGCUCCAGGAAAAAGUCCUAUCCAGAGGUGACGUCAGCGUUCAGGUACAACAUCUCUCGGCAGAUAGCAAAGCUGUGUGCAGAAGAUGCUCAGCUCUUUGUCUUAGGCACUGCCCCUCAUCCCCACGCUCCUCCCCUGGCCAUGUCUGUUUCAGCAAGGGACGACCACUUCAGGUUUUCCACCCUCUACCACUGUUUCUAACUCAGUCCUUUCAGUUACCUUUAACCACAUCCAGAAGCGGUGUGGCUAAGUGGAAGAAAUGCAAACACCAAGCCUGUUAAGAUUCAGAUUGAAUACUUGCUUCUGCCACCAGCUGGCUCUGCACCUUCCUGUUGAACCAGCUGCCAUCUCUGUGAUUAUGGGACCAAUGGACAUUUUCAGCUUCCGUCUGAUUUAGCCUCCACAACUCUACAGACCAUUCUAACCUUGUCACUGUAAACCACUUUUUAUACAGUUUUAAAUUAUGAAACAUCCCGAACAUGAAAAAGUGCAGAAAAGCAGUGUGUUAUGUUGAGCCAACAAGGAUGGAAUGACCACACAGCCAGCCCUGUGCACUAUCUACUGGGAAAAAGCUCAGCUGGCUGAAGGUGAAACUCUGGAAGUGAGGCCAAAACCGGGUAUGGCCCAGGUGUCACCCUCCAUUCCCGGAAGUUAGCACCACAUUUCAAGUCAGUGCAUACCAUUCUCAGGUGACUAACUUUACUUCAAGACUAUAUUUCAUGGGGUGAAUGUGGUGGUGCAGCACGUUAAGCCACAGUUAGGAACACCCACAUCCCAUACUCGAGUGCCUGGGUUCAAGUCCCAGCUACUCUGCUUCCGACCUCGCUCCCUGACGAAGUACC